GCUGUGUAUCCUGGUAACUGUGUGUAGCACCCAGGCCUGGAUGAUGUGGCGAUUUAUUAACUUCCAACUGCGACGAUGGAGAGAGUUUCAAGCAGAGCAGGCAUCUCGUAGGAAGAUUGUAGGCGCCAUGGCAACGCGAGGCCGGGUCCUCCGCAGGGAACCAGGUCACCAUGACAACGGUUUGAUCAAAUCAGAGAAUGGCACAUCACCUCGGACUCGAAAAUCCAAAUCACCCUAAACUCGGCCAGUCAGGGCUGGGAGUCUUUCUGAUCACAUCACCCCUGCCCCAGGGGGAUCAAACUUGGACCUUCAAUAAUUGUUUCUCAUUCACCAUUCUUCCCUGAAGCACAGCCCCACCCUCCACUUAUUGUGUCCAUUUUCCAGUCAGCGCCUCAGUAAACCACGCCCUCCACAUUUUAUCCAAAUCUCUCCCAUUUUCCAAAUCCUUCCCAGGAUCAAAGCAUAACUUCAUUUCACCAUCCCCAAUCCAUGCCCAAUCCUAACUCUUAUCCACACACUGGAUGAGAUCAGUUCAGUGGGUGUAGAUUUGGAGAUAAAGCCCUGUCCCCUCCCUGCCUCAGAGUGUGGACCACAGCACCAUCUUUUUGGCUGAUUGGAUUAACAUGGGUCUCUUUACAUGUAAAGUGCAUCUGGAUAUGUGUCAGCAUGUACCUCAGCAACUGCCAGUGGUCCUUGGAGGCUCUGUCAGACCCAGAACAGUGUCUCCCAGUGCCCAGAGUAAGAUUUCACAGUGCCCAGAGCUGGGAUGAGCCUACCUGAUGUCCAGUGUUUAUCUGCUGUACUUACAGCUCCCCAUGAGCAGCAGUGAUUGAUGGAUGACUGCAAAUAUCAACACCGUGAUCCUUACUGUCCUCGCUGUAGGGUGACAGUCGUGUAAGUCUGACUGUAAAUAAACAUGCAAAUUCAACAAGA